rnacentral:rRNA from 1 species
AUUGAACGCUGGCGGCAGGCCUAACACAUGCAAGUCGAACGGAGUGGCGGACGGGUGAGUAAUGUUUGGGAAUCUGCCUUGUAGAGGGGGAUAACGUCGGGAAACUGUCGCUAAUACCGCAUACUAUCAGAUGAGCCUAGGUGGGAUUCGCUAGUUGGUGGGGUAAAGGCCUACCAAGGCGACGAUCCGUAGCUGGUCUGAGAGGAUGAUCAGCCACACUGGGACUGAGACACGGCCCAGACUCCUACGGGAGGCAGCAGUGGGGAAUAUUGGACAAUGGGGGAAAGCCUGAGGCAGCCAUGCCGCGUGUAUGAAGAAGGCCUUCGGGUUGUAAAGUACUUUCAGUGGGGAGGCGUUAACAACAGAAUAAGCACCGGCUAACUUCGUGCCAGCAGCCGCGGUAAUAC